rnacentral:rRNA from 1 species
GACAUCCCGGGGAUUUUCUGGAAACAGAGAAGUGCUUUAGCAAUAAAGAACCCGGUGACAGGUGCUGCAUGGCUGUCGUCAGCUCGUGUCGUGAGAUGUUGGGUUAAGUCCCGCAACGAGCGCAACCCUCGCCUUUAGUUGCCAGCAUUCAGUUGGGCACGUCUAGAGGGACUGCCGGUGUCAAACCGGAGGAAGUGGGAUGACGUCAAGUCCUUAUGGCCUUUAUGUCCUAGGGCUACACACGUACUACAAUGGCCGGUACAAAGGGCAGCCACUCAGCGAUGAGGCGCUAAUCCCAUAAAGCCGGUCUCAGUCCGGAUCGCAGUCUGCAACUCGACUGCGUGAAGUUGGAAUCGCUAGUAAUCGUAGAUCAGCAUGCUACGGUGAAUACGUUCCCGGGCCUU